rnacentral:lncRNA from 13 species
GCGGCGGCCAGAGGCCUCACUGCGCCUCCCAGCCGUACGGGGGCGCCCUUUAAAGAAGCCUCCGCGGCGCUCAGAGGCCUCACUGCGCCUCCCAGCCGUACGGGGGCGCCCUUGAAAGAAGCCUCCGCGGCGCUCAGAGGCCUCACUGCCCCUCCCAGCCGUACGGGGGCGCCCUUGAAAGAAGCCUCCGCGGCGGCCAGAGGCCUCACUGCCCCUCCCAGCCGUACGGGGGCGCCCUUUAAAGAAGCCUCCGCGGCGCUCAGAGGCCUCACUGCGCCUCCCAGCCGUACGGGGGCGCCCUUUAAAGAAGCCUCCGCGGCGGCCAGAGGCCUCACUGCCCCUCCCAGCCGUACGGGGGCGCCCUUGAAAGAAACCUCCGCGACGGCCAGAGGCCUCACUGCCCCUCCCAGCCGUACGGGGGCGCCCUUGAAAGAAGCCUCCGCGGCGGCCAGAGGCCUCACUGCCCCUCCCAGCCGUGCGGGGGCGCCCUUUAAAGAAACCUCCGCAGACAUUUCUUCCUUGACAACAGCCAAAGUUCUAGGAACCCUGGAGUCUGGCGCCACCCUGAAAAGUGAGGGAAAUGACCCCAAACGGGCCCAACUGGGCUGCGAGAGGAGAACCAGGAGGGGCCCGACCCUGGAGAGGGGCUUGGAGCUCCCCUCUGUCGAAGGACCCCUCCUGCCCAGGCGCCUGCGGGCACCACCAGGCGAACAGCCCGACUCGGCUCUCGGAAAAGGGGCUGGACGCGCCUUAAAGUCAAAGUGGAAAUAUUUCCACCCAGCACUUCCUUCUGGAAACUCAUCCAAGGAGAGCAAUCAGAGGUGUGUGCGGAGAUUCAUAUCGCAACAGCGUUGUUUGUAAUCGUGGAAAAUACUGGAGACGUCUAGACGUUUAAAACAGAGGAUGCAUCAUAUGGGUUACUGUACGUCACUCGUCGCAUAUCAAGCAGGCAUUAAAAAUAACGCUGUAAUGUGCGCAAGGGCGUCUGAACAAAGGUAUUCCUUACGGUGCGAUUUGUAACAGAAGACUAAGAUAAAUGUCUGCUCAGAGCGAAUCACUCAAAUCAAUUACAAUAUGCAGUCUAUGCAGUGGCACAGGCUGAAGCCAUCAAAUAUGAGGGUUCUGUAAAGGUCCCAACUUGGAAGAACGGAGUUAUAUAAAACACAGUGCUACCUUGUGUGUGUGCGUGUGCGUGCAUGUGUGCGUGCGUGUUCACGUGUGUGCAUGUGUACAUGCACA